CAAUAGCGUAUAUUAAAGUUGUUGCGGUUAAAAAGCUCGUAGUUGGAUUUCUGAGUUUAUGAACUCGGAUACUCUCAGGAGUGUCUUGUGGGGCAUAAUCGAAAUAUCUUAUGAGACAUGUUUACUUCAUUGUAUAAUGUGUAUUGUAAGUCAUUUACUUUGAGAAAAUUAGAGUGUUUAAAGCAGGCUUAUAGCUUUGAAUAUAAUAGCAUGGAAUAAUAAAGUAUGGCUUUGGCAUAAUUUUGUUGGUUUCUUUUGCUGAAGUAAUGAUGAAUAGGGACAGUCGGGGGCACUCGUACUUAACUGUCAGAGGUGAAAUUCUUGGAUUUGUUAAAGACGAACUACUGCGAAAGCAUUUGCCAAGGAUGUUUUCAUUGAUCAAGAACGAAAGUUAGGGGAUCGAAGAUGAUCAGAUACCGU
rnacentral:rRNA from 1 species